AGGUCUUGGAAGGCAGACCUGGGUUGUUGGGGAAAAAAAGGGUAAGGGAGGGGGGCAGCCAGAGAUUCAGCCAGCUCCCCUUUGGACCUUGGAGGAGUCCAGCUCUUGCCUAAGGCUCAGAAAGAAAAUAAGUGUUGGUGCUGCAUGUGAUGGUCUUGUGGAGAGGGGAGAGGGUGAGGGCAGCUCAGAUAACAUCUGCUCUGGUCUCAGAGGGACUCAGUGGAGCAAGUUGGGAUCUGAUGGUGCAUCACUGUUGUCAAUACUGGAUUACUGACCUUUGCACUCACAUUCUUGGGCGCCUUCUCAGAACCACUUCCCAGAAGCCUGGCGUUGGUCCCUGUGGCCUCUGGUGACCCAUGUCGGAAGGAAACAGAUCAUUUCGUCACUGGAAAGCAAAGGCGCCAAGAGAAUUGGUACCCUGCCAUUGUGGUAACUAGGUGAGGAAACUGAGACCCAGAGAGAGCAAAUGAAAUGCCCAAGUUCACAAAGUUCUACUACAUAUUAGCUUUGUGACUUUGGACAAGUUGCUUAACUUUUCUGUGCCUCAUUUACCUAAUUUAUAAAAUGGGGCUAAAAAAAGUACAUUGGUGUGUGUAUGCAUACAUCUGUCCACCAGAGGGCCUAGAUGCAAUAGCCCUUGUAGCAAUGGGCAAUACCUUGUGCCCAAGGUUUGUGUAUAUCAUUCUCCCCUGAAAGGAGCCGUGGCUCCAAGGAGAAAUGGCUGACUUCAAGGAUGGGGAAUGAAAGUAGAAGAUGAGCCUGGAACAUCUAGUGGUGUCAGAAGGCCAGAAACUGCUAAAAAAAAUCCCGAUAUGUCAAAAUGAUGCAGAAGCCAACUUGAAGAAGUUCUUAGUGGCCGGUUUUGGGACAAUAUGAACGACAUUAUAAAUAAAGAUAGUAAUGGAUUAUAAUCCACAAAUAUCCCUGAGAAUUUACUUAUAGAAAUAAAUAAUUGAAUACCUGAAUAAAUGAGAGAGAAGGAAGAGCUCUUUCUUUUUGUUUUUCCCCUUGGCUGCACCACACAGCUUGAGGGAUCCUAGUUCCCCAACCAGGGAUUGAGCCCUCGCCCUUGGCAGUGAAAGCACGGAGUUCUAACCACUGGACCACCAGGGAAUUCCCCGGAAGAGCUCUUUCUUAUAGUAGAAUCCUAAUUAAUACAUUUAGAAGGAAUGUUGGAAAUAGAAAAUCACCAUUUGGCUAAGACUAUAGUAAUACCUGUUGUAGGCGAGAAUCAUCAAUGGAUUUUAAAAAUUAAUAGGCAAAAGUAUGACGAGAAGAAACAGGCUAUUUGCAUAGUUUCGAAGUAUCUCUCCACAAGAUACUUAUUAACUACAAUGAGAAUAUAGUACCUUUAUGGACACCGCCUUAACUAGUGUUCAAACUUAACAUCACCCAUAAAUGAGUAUUGUUACCGUGGGCCUCUGAUGUGCCGAGAAGGCAAACGUCACUUCUGUGGUGUUCUUGCCAAAAAUGCGUAAUCUGAAUUUAGUCAUGAGGAAACAUCAGAUAAGCCCAAGUUGAGGGAUAUUCUAUAAAAUAACUGACAAUACUCUUCAAAAGUGUCAAAAUCAUGGAAGACAAGGAAGGCUGACAAAGUACUCUAGAUUGGAGGAGACCAGGAGAUCCUACAUUCUUCAGUGUAGGAUCCUGGAUUGGAUUCUGGAUCAGAAAAAGAAUACUAGUGGGAUGAAUUGGGAGAUUGGGAUUGACAUAUAUACACUAAUAUGUGUAAAAUAGAUAACUAAUAACCUGCUGUAUAAAAAAAAUAAAAUAAAAUUCAAAAAAAAGAAUACUAAUGGGAUGAUUAGCAAAAUCUAAAAAUUUGUACAUUAGUUAAUAGUACUGUAUCAUUGCUAAUUUUCUGGUUUUGAUAAUCAUAUUAUGGUUAUGUAUGAUGUUAUUGGAAAAAACUGCAUGAAGGAUAUAUUGGAACUCUGAUUAUUUUUACCAUAUUUUUGAAGUCUGAAGAAUGAAAAGUUAAAAAAAAAAGACAUUAGGGACUUCCCUGGUGGCACAGUGGUUAAGAAUCCACCUGCCAAUGCAGGGGACACGGGUUCAAUCCCUGGUCUGGGAAGAUCCCACAUGCCGUGGAGCAACUAAGCCCAUGUGCCACAACUACUGAGCCUGAGCUCUAGAGCCUGUGAGCCACAACUACGGAGCCUGCGUGCCACAACUACUGAAGCCCACGCGCCCUAGAGCCCGUGAUCUGCAACAAGAGAAGUCACCACAAUGAGAAGCCUGUGCACUGCAACGAAGAGUAGCCCCCACUCUCCACAACUAGAGAAAGCCCGUGCACAGCAAGAAAGACCCAACACAGCCAAAAGUAAGUAAAUAAAUUUAUUUUAAAAUAUCGUAUCAAAAACAAACAAACAAAACAAAAACCCUAGGGAUAAACUUAACCAAGGAGGUGAGGUGAAAGAUCUACAUGCUGAAAACUAUAAAACAUUGAUAAAGGACAUUGAAGAUGAUUCAAAGCAAUGGAAAAAUAUCCCAUGCUCUUCGAUUGGAAGAACUAAUAUUGUUAAAAUGGCCAUACUACCCAAAGAAAUCUAUAGAUUUAAUGUGAUCCCUAUCAAAACACCCAUGACAUUUUUCACAGAACUAGAACAAAUAAUCCUAAAAUUUAUAUGGAACCACAGACGACCUGAAUUGCCAAAGCUGUCCUGAGGAAGAAGAACAAAGCUGGAGGCAUAACCCUCCCAGACUUCAAACAAUACUACAAAGCUAUGGUAAUCAAAACAGUGUGGUAUUGGCACAGAAACAGAUACAUAGAUCAAUGGAACAGAAUAGAGAGCCCAGAAAUAAACCCACACACCUAUGGUCAAUUAAUCUACAACAAAGGAAGCAAGAAUAUACGAUUGAGAACAGUCUCUUCAACAAGUGGUGUUGGGAAGUCUGGACAGUUACAUGUAAAUCAGUGAAAUUAGACCACUCCCUGACACCAUAUACAAAAAUAAACUCAAAGUGGCUUAAAGACCUAAUAUAAGACAUGAUGCCAUAGAACUCCUAGAAGAGAACAUAAGCAAAACAUUCUCUUACAUAAAUUGUAGCAAUAUUUUCUUAGGUCAGUCUCCUAAGGCAAAAGAAAUAAAAGCAAAAAUAAACAAAUGGGACCUAAUCAAACUUAAAAGUUUUUGCAGAGCAAAGGAAACCAUAAACAAACAAAAAGGCAAUCUGUGGAAUGGGAGAAAAUAUUUGCAAACAAUGCGACUGCCAAGGGGUUAAUAUCCAAAAUAUACAAACAGCUCAUACAACUCAAUAUCCAAAAAACAAACAUUCCAAUAAAAAAAUGAGCAGAAGACCUAAAUAGACAUUGCUCCAAAGAAGACAUACAGAUGGCCAACAGGGACAUGAAAACAUGCACAACAUUGCUAAUUUUUAGAGAAAUGCAAACCAAAACCACAAUGAGGUAUCACCUCACACCAGUUAGAUUGGCCACCAUCAAAAAGUCUACAAGUAAUAAAUGCUGGAGAGGGUGUGGAGAAAAGGGAACUGCGCCACCUGGAAGCUCAGUGAGCUUUCCCCAACUCAUUGCCUUUUUGCCUUAGUAGCUACUUUACUCAUCUGAUUGACUGAACCCUUACUAAGUUCACAUUAUCAAUCGUUGACUCGUUACAACAGUUGUACAUGCUAAGUGGUAUUUUAUUCAUUUUAAGAAGAUAAAACUGAGGCUGAAAAAUGUUAAGCAUCUUGUCCAGGGUUUCAAAGUAAGUGAUGGAGCCAGGAUUUGGAUCGCGGUUCCCCUCAAUUCAAGUCUGAGUCUCAAGGUCCAGGUGAGUCUAAACGUGUCGCCAUGUUUGAGAAUUAUUGGUAGAGAGCAGUGGCCCCACUGGGCAGUGGUUCCCCCUCCAGGGGACAUUUGGCAAUGUCUGGAGAUAUUUUUGGCUGUACUAACUGGGCGGGGCAGGGUGGUAGGGGAGAGGCUGCUCUUGGCUUCUAGCAGGUGGAGGCCACGUGGAUGUUGUUAAACAUCCUGUAACCUGUUGUUAAACAGGUUACAAAGCACAGAACAGCACCCC